rnacentral:rRNA from 1 species
GACGAACGCUGGCGGCGUGCUUAACACAUGCAAGUCGAACGGAAAGGCCCUGCUCUUGUGGGUUGCUCGAUUGGCGAACGGGUGAGUAACACGCGAGUAACCUGCCCUUGACUUUGGGGUAACUUCAGGAAACUGGGGCUAAUACCGGAUAGAAUCUCCUGCUGCAUGUGGUGGGUUGGAAAGUUUCGGCGGUUGUGGCUGGACUGGCGGCUUAUCAGCUUGUUGGUGGGGUAGUGGCGUACCAAGGCUUUGACGGGUAGCCGGCCUGAGAGGGUGACCGGCCUCAUUGGGACUGAGAUACGGACCAGAAUCCUACGGGCGGCAGCAGUGGGGAAUAUUGCACAAUGGGCGGAAGCCUGAUGCAGCAACGCCGGGUGCGGGAUGACGGCCUUCGGGUUGUAAACCGCUUUCGCCUGUGACGAAGCGUGAGUGACGGUAAUGGGUAAAGAAGCACCGGCUAACUACGUG